UACGGAGGGUGCAAACGUUGCUCGGAAUUAUUGGGCGUAAAGCGCACGUAGGCGGUCCAGCAAGUCGGGUGUGAAAGCCCUCGGCUUAACCGAGGAAGUGCAUUCGAAACUACUGGACUUGAAUACUGAAGAGGAUCGCGGAAUUCCCGGUGUAGAGGUGAAAUUCGUAGAUAUCGGGAGGAACACCAGUGGCGAAGGCGGCGAUCUGGGCAGAUAUUGACGCUGAUGUGCGAAAGCGUGGGUAGCAAACAGG
rnacentral:rRNA from 1 species